rnacentral:sRNA from 1 species
UGUCGGAAUAUCUGCUAAAAUUCCGCAUUUUUCCGUCCCGGGACACUCGGGGCGUAUGUUCAAUUUGUCGGAAUGGAGUUUUAGGGAUAUGGGCUUGAAAAA